rnacentral:rRNA from 1 species
UACAGAGGUGGCAAGCGUUGUUCGGAAUUACUGGGCGUAAAGGGCGCGUAGGCGGCCAUCUAAGUCAGACGUGAAAUCCCCCGGCUUAACCUGGGAACUGCGUCUGAUACUGGAAGGCUUGAGUAUGGGAGAGGGAUGUAGAAUUCCAGGUGUAGCGGUGAAAUGCGUAGAUAUCUGGAGGAAUACCGGUGGCGAAGGCGGCUUCCUGGACCGACACUGACGCUGAGGCGCGAAAGCUAGGGGAGCAAACGGG